UACGUAGGUGGCAAGCGUUGUCCGGAAUUAUUGGGCGUAAAGCGCACGUAGGCGGACAUUUAAGUCAGGGGUGAAAUCCCGGAGCUCAACUCCGGAACUGCCUUUGAUACUGGGUGUCUUGAGUGUGGAAGAGGUGAGUGGAAUUCCGAGUGUAGAGGUGAAAUUCGUAGAUAUUCGGAGGAACACCAGUGGCGAAGGCGGCUCACUGGUCCAUUACUGACGCUGAGGUGCGAAAGCGUGGGGAGCAAACAGG
rnacentral:rRNA from 1 species